AGAAGAAAUAGACAAAUACAAGAAUGUUUUGUGUGACACGACUGGUUUAGAGAUCGAUCCAAACGAUGGUUUUCCUCAAAAAAUAUGCAAACAGUGCAAAGAAGACGUUCAGUCCGCAUCCUUACUACGUAUUAAAAGUCAAACAAGCGAUAUAGAACUGAAGAAUUUACGCAAGAAAUACGAAAACACAAAAACCGAAAUAUAUACAACAAAAAUUGAAGAAAUACACACUGAAUUAGCAGAUCAUCAUGAUAUAUGCAUAGAAAUUAACAAUUCAAAUCCUAAUAUGCCAAUACCAGAAAUAAAAAUCGAAAUACAAUGUGACAGUUCAAAAGAAGAUGGCGUCACAACAUGGCGGGCAGAGGAACCUGUUAAAAAGUUAUCGAGGAAGGAAAAGAGACAAAGAUAUUUGGAUUUAGUGGAAGGAAAGUUGGACCCGUGUGGUCCAGUCAAGUGCAGAGUUUGUAAGAAAUCGGUCAGCAAAUGGUCCUGUUUCAUAAGCCACGCGAAAUUACAUUUGGGGUUCAAUUUCAUGUGUGAAUUCUGUGGCAAAGUUUCAUAUCGACAACACAAUUGAAACGCCACUGCAGGUCGUAUCACGGCAUGGAGAGGGACCUGCAAUGCAAACACUGCAGCUAUCUCGCUUUAGAUAAUGCGCAACUUAAGGUACACACACGUCGUCAGCAUACAUUUGAGCGUCCCUACGUGUGCGACACCUGCAGUGCUUCAUAUCACAGCCGGCGGUGCCUAGUGCAGCACCUGGAGAGCCAUCGGACUGUCGC